rnacentral:rRNA from 1 species
GGUGAACGCUAGCGGGAGGCCUAACACAUGCAAGCCGAGCGGUAUUGUUUCUUCGGAAAUGAGAGAGCGGCGUACGGGUGCGUAACACGUGUGCAACCUGCCUUUAUCUGGGGGAUAGCCUUUCGAAAGGAAGAUUAAUACUCCAUAAUAUAUUGAACGGCAUCGUUUAAUAUUGAAAGCUCCGGCGGAUAGAGAUGGGCACGCGCAAGAUUAGCUAGUUGGUGAGGUAACGGCUCACCAAGGCGAUGAUCUUUAGGGGGCCUGAGAGGGUGAUCCCCCACACUGGUACUGAGACACGGACCAGACUCCUACGGGAGGCAGCAGUGAGGAAUAUUGGUCAAUGGGUGCAAGCCUGAACCAGCCAUCCCGCGUGAAGGACGACUGCCCUAUGGGUUGUAAACUUCUUUUGUAUAGGGAUAAACCUACCCUCGAGAGGGUAGCUGAAGGUACUAUACGAAUAAGCACCGGCUAACUCCGU